rnacentral:rRNA from 1 species
UACAGAGGGUGCGAGCGUUAAUCGGAAUUACUGGGCGUAAAGCGCGCGUAGACGGUUUUGUAAGUCAGAUGUGAAAUCCCCGGGCUCAACCUGGGAACUGCAUUUGUGACUGCAUGGCUAGAGUACGGCAGAGGGGGAUGGAAUUCCGCGUGUAGCAGUGAAAUGCGUAGAUAUGCGGAGGAACACCGAUGGCGAAGGCAAUCCCCUGGGCCUGUACUGACGCUCAUGCACGAAAGCGUGGGGAGCAAACAGG